UGAGAUUUCCGUCUCUGGUUUAACCCCCAUUCUGCCUGGAACAGUCAUCGCUUUGAUAUGAGUGCUGUAGGCGCAGGAUUUGGAGCACAGACUGCUGUUCAUUGCAGUGCCUGGCUUUGCAUUUCCACCAUCCAGCACCAAGGGGCUCGCGGCAGGGUAUAUAUAUAAAAAAAUGCAGACAUGCCUACAGAUACCUGCAAUACCCUUGGAGGAGUAUCCCAGCACUGCAGACUGUGUGGAUAUAAAGAGCAAUAAUGCAUCAGAAAUGCCAUGGGGGUGUUUCCUUUGCUGCUUUUUCAAUAGAGGAAUCAGCGAGUGUUAGCAGUGCUUAGACUGCCAUUAGUGAGAGAGCAUUAGUGAGAGGACACCUUGGUGCUCGCAGUUCCUUCUGGACCUUCAAAAACAGCUCUGAUACCAGCAGGGGGCAUGACUGGCUAGCAGGAUUGCAUUAAGGGUGGCUGAUUGGAUGCUCUGAUCUCUAUGGGAAGCUUGAUUGGUUGCUGGGGGGAGUUAAUUAUGGUCCUAAUUUACUGUUUCACUCACUGUUGCCCUUUGCUCAGCUCAUGCUGUGAUAUAUGAACUAGGUUGAUGCUUAAUAAAGAAAUGUACAAGGAACAUUGAUUAUUAGUGUAAGACAGUGAAAAGGGAAUGGCAUGGCAGUGUACAGUUUAUUGUAAUGUUUAACAUAAGCUUAGACCUAAAAAAUGUGCAUACAUAUUAAAUGAGUCACCACAAAGUAGAGGUGGAAUAAUAUUGGAUAUUUAUGUAGAUUAUGUGGGGAGAAAAUCACUGAAUAAUGAGUAAUGUGGUGAUGGCACCACCUAGUGGUCUGAUAGAAAACAUUACAGUAAUUCUGCCAUUUUAACCAGUAAGUGCGUUCUCAAAACAAUGUGUACAAACAGCACAUAACAUUGGAUUUCUUGCAAAAGCCUGUACUUUUCCCAAAAUACUUAUUUCAUCGCUCAAAAGUAAGUAUUUGUGUCAAUGAACAAAUCAUUCCCAUCAGUCCCUUUGGUAUUGUUUACAAACAAGAUCAAAGUGUUUAGUCUUGUUGUCAGUAUGAUGGUGAAAGUUUUAGGAUUUCUUGAUAUAAACUAUGGUUUGGAUCACAGUGACUGAAAAUGCACAAAAUUUGACUUCCUUCUGUUUGGCAUUCAUGAAUUUUAGCAGCACAAAUUUAUUUAUUUCAUUUAUAUUGAUCGCAAGAGACCUUACAGGAUUGACACUUUUACUGUACUAUACAAGUGUUUGUUUGUCUCUUAGUUGUUCAUCCAUUUUUAGAAGUUAUAAUUUCUUUAUUUUGCUCUGUCUGUAUACACUCUCCAAUUAAAGGUUUACAAGAUUCAGCUUUGA